rnacentral:rRNA from 1 species
UACAGAGGUCCCAAGCGUUGUUCGGAUUCACUGGGCGUAAAGGGUGCGUAGGUGGUGAGGUAAGUCGGAUGUGAAAGCUCGGAGCUCAACUCCGAAAUGGCAUUGGAAACUACCUUGCUCGAGGGAUGGAGGGGGGACUGGAAUUCUCGGUGUAGCAGUGAAAUGCGUAGAUAUCGAGAGGAACACCAGUGGCGAAGGCGGCGAUCUGGACAGAUAUUGACGCUGAUGUACGAAAGCGUGGGGAGCAAACAGG